rnacentral:rRNA from 1 species
ACGGCUCAGUAACACGUGGAUAACCUGCCCUAAGGUGGAGGAUAACCCCGGGAAACUGGGGAUAAUACUCCAUAGGUUAAAGGUACUGGAAUGUUCUUUAACCGAAAGUUCCGGCGCCUUAGGAUGGAUCUGCGGCCGAUUAGGUUGUUGUUGGGGUAGUGGCCCAACAAGCCUGUAAUCGGUACGGGUUGUGGGAGCAAGAGCCCGGAGAUGGAAUCUGAGACACGAUUCCAGGCCCUACGGGGCGCAGCAGGCGCGAAAACUUUACAAUGCAGGAAACUGUGAUAAGGGAACCCCGAGUGCCCGUAUAUGCGGGCUGUCCGGAUGUUUAAAACGCAUCCGAAGAAAGGGCCGGGCAAGACCGGUGCCAGCCGCCGCGGUAAUACCGGCGGCUCGAGUGGUGGCCACUUUUAUUGGGCUUAAAGCGUUCGUAGCUUGAAUAAUAAGUCUCUUGGGAAAUCUGCAGGCUUAACCUGCAGGCGUUUAAGAGAAACUGUUGUUCUAGGAACCGGAAGAGGUGAGAGGUACUCCGGGGGUAGGAGUGAAAUCCUGUAAUCCCCGGGGGACCACCGAUGGCGAAGGCAUCUCACCACGACGGCUUCGACAGUGAGGAACGAAAGCUGGGGAGAGCGAACCGGAUUAGAUACCCGGGUAGUCCCAGCCGUAAACGAUGUGCGUUAGGUGUGCCGGUGACCACGAGUCACUGGGGUGCCGAAUGGAAACCGUGAAACGUACCGCCUGGGAAGUACGGUCGCAAGGCUGAAACUUAAAGGAAUUGGCGGGGGAGCAC